UACGAAGGGGCUAGCGUUGCUCGGAAUUACUGGGCGUAAAGCGCACGUAGGCGGAUUGUUAAGUCGGGGUGAAAUCCUGGAGCUCAACUCCAGAACUGCCUUCGAUACUGGCGAUCUCGAGUUCGGGAGAGGUGAGUGGAACUGCGAGUGUAGAGGUGAAUUCGUAGAUAUUCGCAAGAACACCAGUGGCGAAGGCGGCUCACUGGCCCGAUACUGACGCUGAGGUGCGAAAGCGUAGGGAGCAAACAGG
rnacentral:rRNA from 1 species